rnacentral:rRNA from 1 species
CAUACGCGUCAGAGUUUGAUCCUGGCUCAGGAUGAACGCUGGCGGCGUGCCUAACACAUGCAAGUCGAACGAAGCACUUAAGACAGAUUUCUUCGGAAUGAAGUUUUUUGUGACUGAGUGGCGGACGGGUGAGUAACGCGUGGGUAACCUGCCUUAUACAGGGGGAUAACAGUUAGAAAUGACUGCUAAUACCGCAUAAGCGCACAGUACCGCAUGGUACCGUGCGAAAAACUCCGGUGGUAUAAGAUGGACCCGCGUCUGAUUAGCUAGUUGGUGGGGUAACGGCCUACCAAGGCGACGAUCAGUAGCCGGCCUGAGAGGGUGAACGGCCACAUUGGAACUGAGACACGGUCCAA